GGCAGUUCGCAUCAAGUAAUGGAAAUUAGCAUGUUCUCAACGAGCAAUUAUCUCCCUUCUGUAAUGAUCAAAUCCAAAGGUGGUAGUUGGAGCGAAAGCACAAACACAUGUUCUAACAAAUUCCUCUUCCCAAUUCAAUUAUUAGUACCAGAUUAUUUUUUGACCUUUUCUGUAGGUACAUACUUAUGUUACGUCUGCAGAUUUUUGAUAAAUAGCAUGAACAAAUAGAGAAGCUAUCAACACAGAAGCUUCCCACGUCCUCGUUCAGGGGAAGAAGCAUUUCAGAUCUUGACAAAGAAAAAGGGGGCGACGCAAGUUUAGAACUCUAGCCGAUCUGCAGUUUGUCGAGGUUGAAUCCCCCAGGACGAAUGGCCGAUCACGUGACAACUCAUGGAUCUUUGCACACGGCUGUAUAUCAUUCAGCCGAUUUCGUUUCCAAGUAUCAACACUAUGUGCAUAACAUAGCCCCCAAGUUCCGUGAAAAACUG
rnacentral:lncRNA from 1 species